GGAGGCGGUUACAAUGGGGCGGGGCUUGGGUGACAACCAUAGGUGGGGAGCGCUUGGAGGAGAAAGCAGUGGCCACUGGAGGCUGGGGAGGUGACCGAGGGGUCCAGGUGGCAGGAGGGCCAUGCCUUUGAGGCCCUUGGAGGGCGCACUCUAUGGCCUGAUGCCUCUUCACAAGCUCCUAAAACCAUUACGGGCUCCUAAAACUGCACGUUCGGAGAUGCACCAGAAAGCAAAAGACCAUAACUUGAUCUUUUGGAUGGAACAGUUCUCUUCCUAUUUACUACAUUUGAGAUGAAAACCAGAGAGUUCUUCUGUACAUCUGUGCUGACACUGUGUUCAUCUACGACGUCUUCAAGAAUACUCAGCACCAUCUUCAGGGCCACACUAAUGUGAUCUCCUGCCUCUGCAUCAGGGAAGAUAGGAGGUGGAUUGCCACGGCUGACAAAGGGCCCGAAUUCCUGAUAAUCAUAUGGGACUCCUUCACAGGGAAGUUUUGCAUCUGGUGGUGGACCUUAGCCGUGGAAAUGCCAGCAAGUACCUUCAACCUCCUCAAAGAGUAUGGUGUUCAGAACUAUUUUACUUUUAAUCCAACAAAUAAUAAAGAAUUGGUGAGCAACAGUAGAACACAAGUAAUAUAUUAUUUGUGGUAUGAAGAGGGAGAUAUACUUGCUCACAGUGCCUCACGUUUAACAGAAAAAGUGAGUAAUGCUUCCUGCAUUUUUGUAUGUCAGAUGUUGUAGAGAGUAAAUAUGUGUAAGCUUAGUCACUUCAGGCUACUCUUUGUUUGUCUUCAUAGUACACCAUGGGCAAAUCAUUGGGCAUUUUUACUUGGGUCCUUUACUGUAUUGAAUUGUCAGCUGAAAAUAAUGGAACCAUUGUUCAAAAUAAAAUAUUAUGUAAAAGAAAUUUGACUACCC